CACAAGCGGUGGAUGAUGUGGAUUAAUUCGAUGCAACGCGAAGAACCUUACCUACCCUUGACAUGUCCGGAACUUGCCAGAGAUGGCUUGGUGCCCGAAAGGGAAUCGGAACACAGGUGCUGCAUGGCUGUCGUCAGCUCGUGUCGUGAGAUGUUGGGUUAAGUCCCGCAACGAGCGCAACCCUUAUCAUUAGUUGCUACGCAAGGGCACUCUAAUGAGACUGCCGGUGACAAACCGGAGGAAGGUGGGGAUGACGUCAAGUCCUCAUGGCCCUUAUGGGUAGGGCUUCACACGUCAUACAAUGGUCGGUACAGAGGGUUGCCAAGCCGCGAGGCGGAGCCAAUCCCACAAAGCCGAUCGUAGUCCGGAUUGUUCUCUGCAACUCGAGAGCAUGAAGUCGGAAUCGCUAGUAAUCGUGGAUCAGCAUGUCACGGUGAAUACGUUCCCGGGUCUU
rnacentral:rRNA from 1 species